CUCCAUGCUUGAUCGUCAUCUGUAAUUGUGUUUUCAGCAGAAUCUUCCCUGUAUAAUGGUUGCAAUGCAGAUUCUGGUAAUCUGCUUUCUGCUAGGUACUGUUUCAUGGUGAUCAUCUCCAUCUUGUGUUUUCUUUUAUUUUUCUCCAUUUGCUUCUUCAACUUCUCGUUGUCUUGUUGAACUUUGGUAAACUUUUCCUGUAAUUAAAUCAGGAACAAGAACAACAGCAAAUCAGUAAGAAUCUCUUCUUGCAGAAAAUUGCAUCAGGAAGCCCAACAAAUCAGUAAGAAUCUCUUCUUGCACAAACAUUUGACGAAUGAGCCAUUUGUACGGUUAGAUGCCCAAUUAACCCAAAAAAGGAAAAGAAAAGGAAAGUAUUAAUACUUGUGUGCUUCUGUGUAUGUGUACACUUUUAUAUUUCUGUAUGUGUACACUUUUACAUCAAGUGUAAAGUAGGAAACCUGUCUCAUGCUCAAUGUUGUAGCGAAAUCAUGCUGUAAAGAAGUGAUUGAUGAGACAUUAUUAACAGAAUUGUUGCAUUGUAUUUGAAGUUACC
rnacentral:lncRNA from 1 species